rnacentral:rRNA from 1 species
CUCGUAGGCGGUUUGUCGCGUCGGGAGUGAAAACCUACAGCUUAACUGUGGGCUUGCUCUCGAUACGGGCAGACUAGAGGUAUGCAGGGGAGAACGGAAUUCCUGGUGUAGCGGUGAAAUGCGCAGAUAUCAGGAGGAACACCGGUGGCGAAGGCGGUUCUCUGGGCAUGAUCUGACGCUGAGGAGCGAAAGUGUGGGGAGCGAACA